AAUAUUGCACAAUGGGCGCAAGCCUGAUGCAGCCAUGCCGCGUGUGUGAAGAAGGCCUUCGGGUUGUAAAGCACUUUCAGCGGGGAGGAAGGCGUUAAGGUUAAUAACCUUGGCGAUUGACGUUACCCGCAGAAGAAGCACCGGCUAACUCCGUGCCAGCAGCCGCGGUAAUACGGAGGGUGCAAGCGUUAAUCGGAAUUACUGGGCGUAAAGCGCACGCAGG
rnacentral:rRNA from 1 species